AUCAAACCAUAACCGAAAAACAAUCAGCCAAACCAAACAACCAAUAAACCGGCCGGGCUGGUAACCAAUCAGUUGGAACAAAGCGUGGAACGAAAAUUUCAUAGCAAGCAAAUAAUAAUAAAAAAAUAUACAUUAACGGAUGCCGAAAUUUGUUUUCCUGGGAGUGGCUACUUGGAGAUAAUUUGUUUAACUGUAUAUAAAAUACGAAACCAAAAUAACCGCCACACGAAUACACAUUCGCACAUAUAAUGCAGUGAAAAUUUCUGUUGCCAGCGUUAAAAAAUUUGUUAUGCAAACAAAAUGUACUUAUGUACAUAAUUUUGAAAUUACACAGCAAAUGAAAACGCUGCGUUGGUGGACUGGACUGAAACACACUUUCUUGUGUUCAGAGCAAGAAGACAAAAUGAAGAAAAAACAAACUAGAUGAUUGCCUUUUGCUGCCGUAGCAACACUAGACAUGCAUACGGACAUAUGUAUGUAUGUAUGUAUGUAGCUGAACCGGCAUUUCGUAGAGAUUUUGCCCGCCGUUCCGUUCUACUCUCUACUCCUCGCGUAUUUUCUUCGCACUGAUCUCAAGUUGCCCUUUGGUCGUUACUCGUUGCUCUACUAUACUCGGCAUGUGGCUAGAAACUUGUUAAGUUUUAAAUCGCUCACAGCGUAGAGCGCGAAAAGGUUACUGAACUGCGAAAUUGCUCGGCAACUGUGUUGCUAAAACAAUAACAAUAAAUGCUGUAAAGGCAUAAUUAAGUUGCGAUGUGACAUUUGUGCGAAGUUGACAGCUGAAGUUGUAAUAAAAUGUAGAAAUAUGGAAAGAUUGAAAUAGACGAGAAAUAUCUUGUGAUAUAUCUAUGUAUGUACAUAUGUAUGUAUUUGCAUAUGAACGAGUGCAUACACACGAGAGGACCAACAAAUGUUCGUUUAGCUGAUUACAAGGAUAUUAGCAAAAAUAAGAUUAAUAUCAUAACUUGAAAUCGUUUAUAAUUUUUUUAUCAUAUCACAUAAUUGCAAUUAAUUUAUAAAUAUUAGACUUCAAUAAAUAUAAGACUUUCAAAGAUACUUCCCCAGGAACAAUGUUUGUAAAUUUUUAUCAUGACAUUCAAGCCCAGUUAUUAUGAACAAUUUAGUGGUUAAAUUUUUGAUUUUAGUGAAUUUUCGAGUUUACCAGAGCUACAGAGAAAACGUCAUCAAUCUCCCCAGAAAAAAAUUCGGGUCUGAAAUCUUCAAAACCAAUUAGAUAGCGCAAACAAUGGUGCAUUUUUUUCUAUAUUAGAUUAAGUAGAAAGCUGUGAUGUUAUCAAGUAGAUAGUUCGUCACUCAUAUUGCUUUAAAAUUAUUUGAUACAACACAAAUACUCGUACUAUGUUAAUAUUUCAUUUAAAGAAUUGAAGCUAAACCUCUAAAACCCGGCUGAUUCCUACCACAAAGUGGGUUUCAAUGUUCCUUUUUUGCUAUGAAAGGCGAUUUUUCUGCUUCCAUUUCUUAUGCUUUGUAAGAAAUUAAAAAUACCCGGAUUGGUGACAAAUACUCCUAGUGGGCGCUUAUUCCAUUAGACGGUAAAUUAGGAAAGAAAUAAAUUUAUCUAAAUCUAAAUAUGUUAAUGUCGUCAUUGAAAUAAAGCAAAAAAAGAAAA